rnacentral:rRNA from 1 species
AGAGUUUGAUCAUGGCUCAGAUUGAACGCUGGCGGCAGGCCUAACACAUGCAAGUCGAGCGGUAGAGAGAAGCUUGCUUCUCUUGAGAGCGGCGGACGGGUGAGUAAUGCCUAGGAAUCUGCCUGGUAGUGGGGGAUAACGUUCGGAAACGGACGCUAAUACCGCAUACGUCCUACGGGAGAAAGCAGGGGACUUUCGGGCCUUGCGCUAUCAGAUGAGCCUAGGUCGGAUUAGCUAGUUGGUGAGGUAAUGGCUCACCAAGGCGACGAUCCGUAACUGGUCUGAGAGGAUGAUCAGUCACACUGGAACUGAGACACGGUCCAGACUCCUACGGGAGGCAGCAGUGGGGAAUAUUGGACAAUGGGCGAAAGCCUGAUCCAGCCAUGCCGCGUGUGUGAAGAAGGUCUUCGGAUUGUAAAGCACUUUAAGUUGGGAGGAAGGGUUGUAGAUUAAUACUCUGCAAUUUUGACGUUACCGACAGAAUAAGCACCGGCUAACUCUGUGCCAGCAGCCGCGGUAAUACAGAGGGUGCAAGCGUUAAUCGGAAUUACUGGGCGUAAAGCGCGCGUAGGUGGUUUGUCAAGUUGGAUGUGAAAUCCCCGGGCUCAACCUGGGAACUGCAUUCAAAACUGACGAGCUAGAGUAUGGUAGAGGGUGGUGGAAUUUCCUGUGUAGCAGUGAAAUGCGUAGAUAUAGGAAGGAACACCAGUGGCGAAGGCGACCACCUGGACUGAUACUGACACUGAGGUGCGAAAGCGUGGGGAGCAAACAGGAUUAGAUACCCUGGUAGUCC